AGACACAGCAUAUACCUUUUUUAUAAGUAGAGAACAUAAACCUGUGAGUCUUGGUUGGUGUCAUUUGUUUUUUUUUUUUCAGUUAAUUCUUACUUUUUAUUAAUAAAGGAAUUAAAUUUAUAAUUUUUUUCAAGUUUUUUUUUAAAUUAACUAUAUUUCUCAAUGGAAGUUAAAUUAACAAUUUUUUUAUUUUAUUUUAAUUUUUAUCAUUAUAUCAAUCUUAUACUUUCUACGUAGUGAUACUUGUAACAUGACAAUUUGAAAAC
rnacentral:lncRNA from 1 species